rnacentral:lncRNA from 1 species
CCGUGGCCGAGACUCAGCGCCUCAAUGCCGUGUUGAUCGACGUCCACCGUCGCCUCUCCCAGAUUCGCCGCUCCGACAUUAUCGCGGAACUUCCUCCCGUCACCUACCCUGAUACCUCGGGCUCUGCUGGCACCUCGCGUGCUUUCCGCGCGCAAGGUACGAUCGUCGCCCCCGCUGCUGUCGCCGACUCCGCUCCUCCUCCAAGGCGUCGUCGGCCGCGUGGCCCUCGUCGUUCC